rnacentral:rRNA from 1 species
GAUUUUAAGCUUCCUACGGGAGGCUGCAGUAAGGAAUAUUGGUCAAUGGACGGAAGUCUGAACCAGCCAUCCCGCGUGCAGGAUGACUGCCCUAUGGGUUGUAAACUGCUUUUAGCAGAGACGAAACGCCUUCAUUUAUGAGGGUCUGACGGUAUCUGCAGAAUAAGCACCGGCUAACUCCGUGCCAGCAGCCGCGGUAAUACGGAGGGUGCAAGCGUUAUCCGGAAUCACUGGGUUUAAAGGGUGCGUAGGCGGAUGAUUAAGUCAGUGGUGAAAUCUUGUCGCUUAACGAUAAAAUUGCCAUUGAUACUGAUUAUCUUGAAUUGGGUUGAGGUUAGCGGAAUGUGACAUGUAGCGGUGAAAUGCAUAGAUAUGUCAUGGAACACCAAUUGCGAAGGCAGCUAGCUGGGCCUUGAUUGACGCUGAGGCACGAAAGCGUGGGUAGCGAACAGGAUUAGAUACCCUUGUAGUCGAAUUCUU